GACGUCGAAUAUCGACGUCAUAAACACCAAAGUUGAUCGUGUUUUUGACGUCGAAUAUCGACGUCAUAAACACCAAAGUUGAUCGUGUUUAUGACGUUGAAUAUCGACGUCAUAAACAGCAAAGUUGAUCGUGUUUAUGACGUCGAAUAUCGACGCCAUAAACACCAAAGUUGAUCGUCUUUAUGACGUCUUAUAUCGACGUCAUAAACACCAAAUUUGAUCGUGUUUAUGACGUGGAUAUUUGACGUC
rnacentral:miRNA from 1 species